GAUAAACGCUGGCGGCGCACAUAAGACAUGCAAGUCGAACGAACUUAAUAUCUUGCUUGCAAGGUAAGCGGUUAGUGGCGGACUGGUGAGUAACACGUAAGAAAUCUGCCUAUCAGAGGGGAAUAACAGUGAGAAAUCACUGCUAAUACCGCAUAUGCCAUAAACAUCGCAUGAUGUUAGUGGGAAAGAAGCAAUUCGCUGAUAGAUGAGCUUGCGGCUGAUUAGCUAGUUGGUGGGGUAAAGGCCUACCAAGGCGACGAUCAGUAGCCGGACUGAGAGGUUGAACGGCCACAUUGGGACUGAGAUACGGCCCAG
rnacentral:rRNA from 1 species